GGGGGCGACACGGCUUCGACGGGGGUGGAGAGAUAAUAGCUGCGUGUCGAGGUACCCAAUCACCUCGUAAAACAAUUGGGAAAAAACGCAACUGCGGACGAUAACACGUACGCAAUGGCUGCCUAACUAACCGUUACGCAGUCCGUUCUCUCAGACCUUGCCUGCGUGGUCUGGGCAGAGCGCCGACGAGAGCAGGCUGGUGCGGGGGUUUCCGCUCGAGGGCCUCCGGAUGAGAGUGGGCCACAGCCCCAACCAUCGAGUUGGCAUCUCAGCGACCCUGUCUGUUGGGGCGCGAGGUGCGAGAUCCUAAGUGAAUAGACUACACACGUAGAUGCCGUUAUCAAACUGCUUUCGGACGCGGGUUCGAUUCCCGCCGCCUCCACCA
rnacentral:tmRNA from 1 species